ACAUGCCUACAACAUAGCGUUAAUGCAUCAGAUCCCAUUAGAACUCUAUAGUUAAGUGCACUCGGGCUAGAGUAAUACUGGGAUGGGUGACCGUCCGAGAAGUCCUAGUAUUUUACAUGGC
rnacentral:rRNA from 1 species